rnacentral:rRNA from 1 species
GCGAACGGGUGAGUAACACGUGAGCAACCUGCCCCGAAGACCGGGAUAACAGCGGGAAACCGCUGCUAAUACCGGAUGUCCCCACAGGGUCGCAUGGCCUGGUGAGGAAAUGGAUUCCGCUUCGGGAGGGGCUCGCGGCCUAUCAGCUUGUCGGUGGGGUAAUGGCCCACCAAGGCUACGACGGGUAGCUGGUCUGAGAGGACGAUCAGCCACACUGGGACUGAGACACGGCUCAGACUCCUACGGGAGGCAGCAGUGGGGAAUAUUGCGCAAUGGGCGAAAGCCUGACGCAGCAACGCCGCGUGAGGGAUGAAGGCCUUCGGGUUGUAAACCUCUUUCGAGCAGGGACGAUAAUGACGGUACCUGCAGAAGAAGCUCCGGCCAACUACGUGCCAGCAGCCGCGGUAAUACGUAGGGAGCGAGCGUUGUCCGGAUUCAUUGGGCGUAAAGAGCUCGUAGGCGGCUUGGUAAGUCGGAUGUGAAACCCCCAGGCUCAACCUGGGAUCGCCAUCCGAUACUGCCAUGGCUAGAGUCCGGUAGGGGCCCACGGAAUUCCUGGUGUAGCGGUGAAAUGCGCAGAUAUCAGGAGGAACACCGGUGGCGAAGGCGGUGGGCUGGGCCGGCACUGACGCUGAGGAGCGAAAGCGUGGGGAGCGAACAGGAUUAGAUACCCUGGUAGUCCACGCCGUAAACGUUGGGCACUAGGUGUGGGGUCUUAUCAACGGAUUCCGUGCCGUAGCUAACGCAUUAAGUGCCCCGCUUGGGGGAGUACGGCCGCAAGGCUAAAACUCAAAGGAAUUGACGGGGGCCCGCAC